rnacentral:misc_RNA from 1 species
UAACCUAUCCAGCCCUGCUGGGUCCUGGGCUCGCCGUCUGGCGGGCCCCAAAGCUAGUGGCGGUGCCGUCCGGUGCUGGAGCGUAGUACAACCCCUCGCUACCGGCCCCGAGCGCGCGCCCGCCAGCGACCCCCUUCUAUGG